UGGGGAAUUUUGGACAAUGGGCGCAAGCCUGAUCCAGCAAUGCCGCGUGCAGGAAGAAGGCCUUCGGGUUGUAAACUGCUUUUGUACGGAACGAAAAGGUCUGGGUUAAUACCCUGGGCUCAUGAC
rnacentral:rRNA from 1 species